GCGUUGCUCUUCCGGUCUUUUCGGAUAUCGGCCCGGGAAGCGAGGGCAGCUGUGUGUUAAGGAGAAGAGGAAAACUAGAGAAAGAACCCAGAGUAAAACCUGUGAAAAAGGAAAAAGAGUCGGAGCACUUACCCAGUAGAGGUCCGGAGCCAAGUGGCUGAACGAAGGAGAGUUACGUCGGCUAACUGCUUGCCUGUCCGCCGGAGAGCUGCUACGAGGUUCGGCAUCGGCAUGCUCCAUCUUGAUACACAGAGCAACGGUCAGGUUUUUUUUAGAGGACUGAGAGUCUGAGGUUCAGGACAACUUCCUGCUGUGAAAGAUGGCGAGCCAACUACCCUGAUUGAAGAUUAGCACCGAGGAGAUAUUCACGUAUACACUCAUUCACGCAAAUAAUACACUCACAUUACACUACAAGGAACCUUGGAAUCAGGUGAACUUUCAACAACUCCUUUUAUUUUAAGGGCCCCAACAGACAUUUUUGUUUUAAGUGUGCACACUACUUUUUUUUAUUUUUCUUACUGUUUGGUAUAAUAUUUUGCAUUUUGUACGAACCAGACAAAUUACUUUGUUCACUGUAAAAUAUAAGAGUGGCUACUCAAUUGUUA